rnacentral:rRNA from 1 species
UAAGGGAUGGAAGUGCUUAAGGUGUGUUUUGUGAGGAGGACUAAGUCGUAACAAGGUAGUCGUAGGAGAACCUGCGGCUGGAUCACCUCCUUUCUAAGGAAUAA